CUCUGAAGGCAGGAUCUCAGGGUGUAUUAGCUGAUGCAGGCUGUUGAGGUUAUUACCAUGUAGGAAUAUCUGUAUGUAUACAUGCAGAGAUCUGGAAUGUGUGACCUACGAGCACUAGCAACAGAGUAUUUCUGGAUUUGAGCAGCCUUCUGCCACAGACACUAGAAACCUGUAGACUUUCCACUGGGAAGAAAUGCCUGCUUUUCGGUACGGCUACACAGACAGCUCACAGCAACUAUUUCAGGACUAAUGCAAAAUCACAAGGAACAGAUAACUCCCUGAUAUGCAUUUUCAAUUUCUAAGUCAAGAGAAUAUGCCAGAGAAGGUUUGGCAGUUUAAGAAGGCCAGCCACUCUGUCCUGGAAUACUAUUGCCAAAUUCAUCGUGUGUCCUCAUUUUGUCUUUGCCUGCUUGAUCAUAUGCACAAACAAUGCAAUAAGCU